UACGAAGGGGGCUAGCGUUGCUCGGAAUCACUGGGCGUAAAGGGUGCGUAGGCGGGUCUUAAGUCAGGGGUGAAAUCCUGGAGCUCAACUCCAGAACUGCCUUUGAUACUGAAGAUCUUGAGUUCGGGAGAGGUGAGUGGAACUGCGAGUGUAGAGGUGAAAUUCGUAGAUAUUCGCAAGAACACCAGUGGCGAAGGCGGCUCGACUGGCC
rnacentral:rRNA from 1 species